rnacentral:piRNA from 1 species
ACACCUGUGGUGGGAAAGCCUAAAGGAGA